CCAUCGGGUCGGCUCCAUCCCCGCUGAGCAUUUUCGUUCAUUUCUUUUGGGUUGCAAAGGUUGAACCCGACCAUCCCCCCAGCACCCCAUCCUCGGGCCCCCUCCCGCCAGCUCGGCUCAGCCGCGUGGCGGGAGGGAAAGGUCGAGCGAGGAGAACGACGGGCCGUAUGGCCGGAGAGACGGGGGGCGGGGGAGAAGGCGGACGUACACAGUAGUGGUCCUUUUGUUUGUUUUUUGUUGUUUUGUUUGGGGAAGGGGGGUUGGGGGGGUUGUUGUCAUGGAGACGGGAGUGUUUGCACAGCAGUACCUAGCAGUUCCACCGGUGUUAUUGAACCGUUAUAAUUUGCAGGCGUUUCUUUGCGGCCCUUUGUUGCUUUUAAACCUCCGUCGGUGCAAUCGGUUCAUCUCAUGGGCUUUAUGUCACGUCGAAAACAUCCAACACCAACCCCCCGAUUGAAACCACUGAACCGAAAAAAAAGAAAACAGAAAAAGAAGCACAGCAAACAAUACACCCUGAACACCUGAACAGCAACACGCUCCAAGACACACGCACACACUGUGUCGCCAGGGAAUACAACCCGAAACCAUUUGGUCGGAGAACACAGAUCUUGCAUCUGCUGCUGCCGGUGUCUUUUGGGGGGCCUCCCUUAAAAGCAGAGAGCCUACGGUCUUUGGACAGAGUCCAUCUCAAUUUGAGCAUAUAAUACUUACGGUACUUUCUGUGCCAAGCCCCCCCAUGCACUAACGAUGGUCAGACGGUGAUCAAUGACCACCAUCGCUGUCAUCUUCCCCCUGGCUCCCUGCCCGGAGAAGAUGAUGAUGAUGAGCCUGUGAGCACACCCCGACACAUGCUGAUUACGUCUGGGAAGUUUGGAUGAUUUCUUUAUUACCGGAUAAGCUUUGCAGGGCCCAGUGGCAAGUUUACCUUACAGAGUCACAGAUAAUACAAUAACGUGGGAAAUUGUGAAAUCGGUGUCUGAGAAAAAAAAUGAAUGGAUUUGGAUUUUUGUUUCAAAAGCCUAAAGCGGUGUCGAUAAUGUCUGGUGUUUGGACUAGUUAGUAGUCUCCUUCCGUUCAAUGCUAUGCCCGGUUUUGGAUGCAGAUCGAACUGCGCUACAUCAAUAUAUAUUUAGCUUUAUAGACCUGUAUUUGAAAGCUCAGAUUUCAACAUACACAUAUAGAAAUCAUAAUCUACCCUCCAGCAUAAUUGACCCGUGGAAAAUAUGUUUGAUCGACUCGUGUUCCACACACAUUCACAAUUUUAGAAUUGACCUGCGAAAAAAAACCAGCUUGCAUGAAAUCUGUGAAAUGUACAAAGGUUUUAGUCACAAAUACCGUCUAACAUCCGGUAGGUCCCCAACAGGAGUCAGCAUGAAGGGCUCACAGCGCAUUUCCCUGUAAUUGUCUAGCUACAAUAUGAACAGAGAUUGUACAAAACCCAGGCCCUGCAGAGUCCCAUGGGAUGAAAAAAAGUUAUUGCAGUCUGACAGGUUUUACUUUGGAGGAAAUCAAUACAUCUCUGCAUGCCUGUGGCUACGCCAGCAGUGUGCUGCAAUGUGUGAUCGAUUCGCUUUUCCUUUAAAAAUUCAUUUUUAGGAGUCUGAUCGUGAAGCAAAAAAGGAGCCUGAAUUAACAUUGAUCAUAUUUCUUGCACUAAUUCUUUAAGCCAGUUUUUCCCAGUCAAGCCAUUGACCCAGAGAGAUUUUCUAGGUGCAAUAAGAAUGUGUUUUAUUUCUGAAUGACCUAUCAACGCCCAUUCCAUCUGAAUUCCACUCUCCGUCGGGGUGGGGAGUAAGAAACGGAUACGAUUCAAUUCAAUGCCUCCACUCUUCAAAGGGCUGCUGCUGCUGUUGUUGUUGUCCUAUUUUUGUGUUACGGGGAGGAUCCUUACAAACACUAUCAGUGAGCAGUAAAGCCCUCAGAGGCGAAUUCAUGGACUUUUGUUUCCCUACACAGGUGUCGGAUGACUCAUGGCUGACAUUUAUGGCACACAAUUAUCUCUGCGUAAUGGAUUUCUCUGAGAAUCUGCGCUCUCUGAGGCAUAGCUCUAAAAUAGCACAACCAAAUGAAUUUCACUAAUAAGCCACUUUGCUCAUUGCUCGCUGCUGUCAAAGCCAUUGACUAAACCAUCCGUUUAGGCGGCUGCACUCCGGCGGACAAUGUCAAAUAAACAUAGAAGACAGUUUGGUAGUGCAAAUGAAGAUUGAACAGUACCUGUGCUCACUGCUAGGUGGGUGGGGGGGUCUAGGGAGCAUUGAUCCUUGCUGGAUGACUACACAACGUGUCCAUGGGAGUUAUUCUUCAUUGUUUUUGAUUUAAGUUCCUUCCUCUUCUUGCUAUUUAUCCGCCAUACACUCUUUUUUGUGACCUUGAUGGCUAGGAUGAAACACAGUCUGUGUGUGAUUGUGUGUGUGUGUGUGUGUGUGUGUGUGUGUGUGUGUGUGUGUGUGUGUGUGUGUGUUGUGUGUGUUUGUGUGCAUGUGUGCGUGCGUGCGUGCGUGCGUGCGUGCGUGCGUGCGUGCGUGCGUGCAGACUGCUGCCAGUACCCCUUGUUCACUGAUGGAUCUUUGCCUGGUUACUCACUAUAUACGGUUGGCCUUAUAAACUCCUGUCCCAUACUGGACAUUGGUAACAGAGUUAUCCGCUCUGUCAGGUAUGUGUGUGUGUGUGUGUGUGUGUGUGUGUGUGUGUGUGUGUGUGUGUGUGUGUGUGUGUGUGUGUGUGUGUGUGUGUGUGUGUGUGUGUGUGUGUGUGUGAGGAUGUGCACACUCAUACACGUCAGCAAUCACUGUAAUUAUACUGGAAGGACAAUGUUUUGUUUUUUGUUCAUUCUUUGACAAAAGUUUCAUUGCUGGUAAUGAUACGAUGCUUUGUGUUUAUGUAGUUGUCUCCAAUGGUGUGUUUUUAAAUCCGUAAUUUUUUUGCAACGUUUUUGGUACCAGUCAAUUUCAAUACUUGGUAAUGGACAAAACUGGUCAUGGAAAAGUACUGGUCAUGAACAAGUGCCAAUAAUGGACAAGUAUAUGGAUUUGUUCCGGUAAUGGACAAGUGCCGGCAAUGGACAAGAACUGGUCAUGGACAAGAACUGGUCAUGGACAAGAACUGGUAAUGGACAAGUAGCCUACUGGUAAUGAAAAAGUCCUGAUAAUGGAGAUGGUAAUGGCCAAGUCCUAGUCCUUGACAAGUAUUGGUAAUAUACAAGUACUGGUGGUACACAAGUCUUGGUAAUGGACAGGUACUGGUCAUGGACCAGUAUGACCGUAGCAGCCAUCUGGAUGCUGUCCUCAAUGCUGGAACAACUGUGGUAUAUUUGUGUCGUGACAUCAGUGCAAUUACACCAACAUUUAUUUCGAUCUCAGCAAUGUUUUUCGGAAUUCCUCGCCUCGUGUGACGACAACAUGUACAUACUGAAAAUAAAUGAUAUGUUCAAGAUAUGUUCAAACGAAAAAUAAAGAAAAAGAAAUGAUAAACUUUCUAUAAA
ensembl:lncRNA